UACGUAGGUGGCAAGCGUUGUCCGGAUUUAUUGGGUUUAAAGGGUGCGUAGGCGGCCUUGUAAGUCAGUGGUGAAAUACUCUAGCUUAACUAGAGGGGUGCCAUUGAUACUGCAGGGCUUGAAUGAAGUCGAGGUAGGCGGAAUUGACGGUGUAGCGGUGAAAUGCUUAGAUAUCGUCAAGAACACCGAUAGUGAAGACAGCUUACUAGGCUUAGAUUGACGCUGAGGCACGAAAGUGUGGGGAUCAAACAGG
rnacentral:rRNA from 1 species